CCAAUUUGUGUUUGUAUCAAUUAAUUUUUCAACUACUAUCUAUUCAACGUAAACGUACAAUUUAAGAUGUGUACAGUAAUCAACCUACUAUAAUACCUACAAUAACAUGGAAAAACUGAAAGAUAAAAUAUAAUCAAUUUUGAAUUCACUAACUAUCGACGUACACUAAGGAACUGAUUUAAUACUUAUUAUUACAGAAAUAU